AACGGCCAUACCAUGCUGAAUAUACCGGUUCUCGUUAGAUCACCGAAGUCAAGCAUCAUUGGGCGCGGUCAGUACUUGGGUGGGUAAACCCCCUGGGAACACCGCGUGCCGUU
rnacentral:rRNA from 1 species